UCACGCCCUAAAAGUGGCCACGAAAUUUCAUUCCCGUUAGGCGCCUGUAGACAAGGCUACAAAAUGUAUGAAGGCUACUGGUUAACAGCCCAAAGAAACUUGGAAAAAAAGCCACAUUGCUCUUUGGAAUUGGACUGAUAGGCACUUGUUUUCUCUAUUAUACGUCAGAACCGUUAACUGUACGUAGAAGAAAGCCACUGAAACAAGUCGGUGAAAUCUCAGUUGAUGUUUGCAUCCCAUCGAAUGAAACGAAUAAUUCCGAUGAUAUACCGAAAACGAUCCUCUUCUGGACAACAUUUUAUGGCGCUAAUGUGUGGAGUAAAUUAAAAAUGGAUUUGAAUGAAGAAUGUCCCUCUCACAACUGUCGAUUAACCACCGAUCGGCGCCUGUUGAACGAAAGUGACGCCAUUAUCUUUCAUUUUUGGCAAGAUAAGUUGGACCGAAUACCGACUUGUCGCAGACCGGAUCAAUAUUACGUCUAUUUAAAUUUCG